GUUGUCGUGGCCGAGAAGGCGAUAGACUAAAAAUAUUUUGGGAUCUUCCCGCGUAGGUUCGAAUCCUGCCGACGUCA
rnacentral:tRNA from 1 species